rnacentral:rRNA from 1 species
GCGGCGCGCUUAAUGCAUGCAAGUCGAGCGAUGAGGUCUCCUUCGGGGGGCACAUCAGCGGCAGACGGGUGAGUAACACGUAGGUAACCUACCCCAGAGACAGGGAUAACCCUAGGAAACGAGGGCUAAUACCGGAUGACCUCCGGAAGGAGGAAAGGCUCAGGCGCUCUGGGAGGGGCUUGCGGCCCAUCAGCUAGUUGGUAGGGUAAAGGCCUACCAAGGCGAAGACGGGUAGGGGGUGUGAGAGCACGGCCCCCCACAAUGGGACUGAAACACGGCCCAUACUCCUACGGGAGGCAGCAGCAGGGAAUAUUGCACAAUAGGCGAAAGCCUGAUGCAGCGACGCCGCGUGAGUGAAGAAGGCCUUCGGGUCGUAAAGCUCUUUUGUAGGGGAAGAGGAAGGACGGUACCCUAAGAAGAAGCGUCGGCUAACUACGUGCCAGCAGCCGCGGUAAGACGUAGGACGCGAGCGUUAUCCGGAAUUACUGGGCGUAAAGGGCCAGCAGGCGGCUUGGUAAGUUGUGCGUGAAAGCCUCGUGCUCAACGCGAGGAAGCCGGACAAUACUGUCAAGCUAGAGGGCAUCAGAGGGGAGUGGAAUUCCCGGAGUAGCGGUAAAAUGCGCAGAUAUCGGGAGGAACACCGAUGGCGAAGGCAGCUCCCUGGGAUGCACCUGACGCUAAGAGGCGAAAGCUAGGGGAGCGAACAGGAUUAGAGACCCUGGUAGUCCUAGCUGUAAACGCUGGGUGCUAGGUGUGGGACGUAGAAGUUCCGUGCCGGAGCAAACGCGAUAAGCACCCCGCCUGGGAAUUACGGUCGCAAGGCUAAAACUCAAACGAAUUGACGGGGCCCCGCACAAGCAGCGGAGCGUGUGGUUCAAUUCGAUGCUACACGAAGAACCUUACCUGGGUUUGACAUGUACGUGGUACGAAGGCGAAAGCCUAAGGACCCUUCGGGGAGCGUACACAGGUGCUGCAUGGCUGUCGUCAGCUCGUGCCGUGAGGUGUCGGGUUAAGUCCCGUAACGAGCGCAACCCUUGCCCUUAGUUACAAGUGUCUAAGGGGAC